rnacentral:rRNA from 1 species
CAGCCGCCGCGGUAAUACCGGCGGCCCGAGUGGCGGUCACUAUUAUUGGGCUUAAAGCGUCCGUAGCCGGGUUGGGAAGGCCUCCGGGAAAUCUGGCCGCUUAACGGUCAGAAUGCCGGAGGAUACUCCCAGCCUAGGGAGCGGGAGAGGCCGAGGGGAUUCCCGGGGUAGGGGUGAAAUCCUAUAAUCCCGGGAGGACCACCUGUGGCGAAGGCGCUCGGCUGGAACGCGUCCGACGGUGAGGGACGAAGGCCAGGGGAGCAAACCGGAUUAGAUACCCGGGUAGUCCUGGCGGUAAACGAUGCGGACUAGGUGUCGGGCAAGCUAAGGGCUUGUCCGGUGCCGCAGGGAAGCCGUUAAGUCCGCCGCCUGGGGAGUACGGCCGCAAGGCUGAAACUUAAAGGAAUUGGCGGG